GGAUUGUGGCUCAGUGGCAGAGUGCUUUCCUUGCAUGCAUGAGGCAGUGGGUUCAAUCCUCAGCACCA
rnacentral:tRNA from 1 species